AAUAUCGGAACGCAGUCUACGAAUACGGCCCUAGAAGUUCUCCGAAAAAGAACAGACCUAUUUUCGAACGUUGCCGUUUUUGUCGACACAUACAGAGCUAUAACCUAUCGACACAAUUGCAUACUCAUUGACAACGUGUUCUAGACGGCAUUUAAAGAUGAUUCGAUAUUAUUUUUUCUUGUGACAAUGAUAUAAUACGUUCACGCACGACACAGUAACCGAUAAAUAGCGAAAUGAAGCGGAUUAUUAUAUUCGGCGCUACUGGAAACACAGGCUUGUGUGUUCUGAGAUCGGCUGUAGAAGAUGGUUUAAAAGUACGAGCUUUUAUAAGGAAUACAGCUAAAGUUCCUGAAGAUCUUAAAAAUAGAAUUGAGUCGAUCGUUGGAGAUGUUACUAAUGCAGAUCAAGUUAUGAAAGCAAUAGCUGGUACAGAUGCUGUUGUAGUAGCACUAGGAACAAGAAAUGAUCUAAGUCCUACUACUGUUUUAUCAUGUGGUCUGAAGAAUAUAAUAAGUGCUAUGAAAGCAUAUAAUGUUGAAUUAGUCUCUGUAUGUCUAUCAGCGACGUUAGAAAUAAUACAAGGAAUAUGGCUGAACAAUUUGAUGAUGAUAUAUUACAUUAACGAGGCAAUAUUUCUCAUGUUCCAAAAUUAUAUUGUACGUGACAUGCUGCAAUGCCCGCAUUUUUAUUCUACAAACCUGAAGCAAUACCUGCGAUAUUUAAAGAUCUGAAUGAAGAUCAUCAACGUAUGUUCGACAUGAUCAAAACAAGUGGUCUAAAAUGGGUGGCAGUAUUACCGCCGCAUAUAGCCGAUACACCUAAAUCGAAAUACACGGUCACAUUUGAUUCUUCACUUGGCCGCGUAAUCUCUAAACAUGAUUUAGGCAUGUUUCUCAUCGAAUGUCUCAAAAAUCCUGAAUAUCAUCAGAAAGUAUGCGGUAUUGCAUCUGUAGUAUGAUAAUAUGAAAGAACAU